rnacentral:rRNA from 1 species
AUACGGAGGGUGCAAGCGUUAAUCGGAAUUACUGGGCGUAAAGCGCGCGUAGGUGGUUGGGUAAGUCAAAUGUGAAAGCCCCGGGCUUAACCUGGGAAUUGCAUUCGAUACUGCUUAACUAGAGUGUGGGAGAGGGAAGUGGAAUUUCCGGUGUAGCGGUGAAAUGCGUAGAUAUCGGAAGGAACACCAGUGGCGAAGGCGACUUCCUGGCCCAACACUGACACUGAGGCGCGAAAGCGUGGGUAGCAAACAGGAUUAGAUACCCUGGUAGUCCACGCCGUAAACGAUGAGAACUAGAUGUCGGGGGGAUUUGCCCUUCGGUGUCGCAGUUAACGCAUUAAGUUCUCCGCCUGGGGAGUACGCCGGCAACGGUAAA